AUGGACGAGAAGUUCCUAAGGUCCAACUAUGUGUUCUGGAUAAUGAAAUAGUCUCGGAAGACGGUCGGUCAACUGAGUGGUCAAACUUCCAAAAUCUGGUCAAUCGAGCCCAAGGGGCCCACAACCUCCGAUUUCCUAUCCGAAAGUUCCUAUGGCUUCAACAAGGUUUAUUAUACAUGUCCUGCAAGUUUGGUCUGAAUCAAACGGUAGGAUCGCU
rnacentral:lncRNA from 1 species